GCCCCUGUGGCGUAAUUUGGUAGCCGCGCUAGACUUAGGAUCUAGUGAGGAAACUCGUGCAGGUUCGAUUCCUGUCAGGGGUA
rnacentral:tRNA from 1 species